CGUUGUUUUGUUUCUUGCAGGAAUGAUUGAAGAGUUUAUCUAAGACUUUUCUUUGGGAAAUUUGACACAAUCAAACAACGGAAACUUUUCACUUUUUGGGCACAUGUCGGCUUGUUGGUCUAAUGGUAUAUUCUCGCUUUGGGUGCGAUUCCCGUGCAAGCCCGCGUGCUUGGAGGGAAGGACUUCAAAUUUGCUUGAACGUUUGACAAACUUUUAAAAUAUUUUUGAGCCCAAAAUUGAGUGAAAAGCUCCCCUGUGUGGAUUUGAACCAUCAACCUUUCGGUUAACAGCCGAAUGCCACAGUUUUGUGUUGAUAUAUGGAAUGAACUUGACUCUAAUUUGGAAAAUAUCACUUCUUAGUAUCAUAUUUAAAAAUGCGAUAAAAGAACACUUUUUAGAGGUCACAAACAAUUACACCAUUAUAAUAUUAUAUAUGUACUUUGUAAAUAGAUUUUCAUUUCUUUCUUUUCUUUUAUUACUUAUAUUACCUAUAUAUAUAUAAAUAUUUUCAAUAUUUUUCUAUUUUGUUUAUG